GACGAAGGUGGCGAGCGUUGUUCGGAAUCACUGGGCAUAAAGCGCACGUAGGCGGUGCCGUAAGUCGGAUGUGAAAUCCCUCGGCCUAACCGAGGAACUGCGUCCGGUACUGCGGUGCUUGAGGAUCAGAGGGGUGCAUGGAAUUUCCGGUGGAGCGGUGAAAUGCGUUGAUAUCGGAAGGAACUCCGGCGGCGAAAGCGAUGCACUGGCUGAUUUCUGACGCUGAGGUGCGAAAGCCAGGGGAGCAAACGGG
rnacentral:rRNA from 1 species